AGUGAACGCUGGCGGUAGGCCUAACACAUGCAAGUCGAACGGCAGCACAGUAAGAGCUUGCUCUUACGGGUGGCGAGUGGCGGACGGGUGAGGAAUACAUCGGAAUCUACUUUUUCGUGGGGGAUAACGUAGGGAAACUUACGCUAAUGCCGCAUACGACCUACGGGUGAAAGCAGGGGAUCUUCGGACCUUUCGCGAUUGAAUGAGCCGAUGUCGGAUUAGCUAGUUGGCUGGGUAAAGGCCCGCCAAGGCGACGAUCCGUAGCUGGUCUGAGAGGAUGAUCAGCCACACUGGAACUGAGACACGGUCCAGACUCCUACGGGAGGCAGCAGUGGGGAAUAUUCGACAAUGGGCGAAAGCCUGACCCAGCAACACCGCGUGGGUGAAGAAGGCCUUCGGGUUGUAAAGCCCUUUUGUUGGGAAAGAAAAGCAGCAGGUUAAUCCACCGCUGUUCUGACGGUACCCAAAGAAUAAGCACCGGCUAACUUCGUG
rnacentral:rRNA from 1 species